CCCAUGCGCUUGUUUGUCUGCAGGAUUCCAGCUGGCACUUGGAGCGUCCAACACGGCCCUGGCGACGGCCCAACGUCCUCUUACGGGUCUGAGCAACCGGCCAUAACCGGAAGCAGCCGUUUCACAAUUCCGUCGUCCUGCAGCGGUGGCUUUUAUUCGAUUGCCAGUACAAGCAGUGCACUCUUUGAGGACACCAUGCGACCACACGACACGGGCCACCCUGAAGGAAU
rnacentral:lncRNA from 1 species